GCAAGAUACCACGGGCGCACGGCGGAUGCCUUGGCACAGGGAGCCGAUGAAGGACGCGGCAAGCUGCGAUAAUCCCCGGCGAGGAGCACACAUCCUUCGACCCGGGGGUCUCCGAAUGGGCGAACCCAUCCACAGAGGUGUGGAUAUCCCCACCCCGAACACAUAGGGGUGGGGAGGACAACCCGGGGAACUGAAACAUCUAAGUACCCGGAGGAGAGGAAAUCAAUCUCGAGACUCCCCGAGUAGCGGCGAGCGAAAGGGGACCGAUGGCCAAACCGUCGAGCGGGCAUACCCGGCAGGGGUUCCGCCGACGGGGUUGCAGGGCCGCGCAUCCGGGGGCUGCCGCCCCCGGGCGCAGGUCCGGCUGGGGAGCGGAACGGCAUGGGAGGGCCGGCCGCAGCGGGUGACAGCCCCGUACGCGAACCCAGACCGGACGGCGCGACGCGGUCCCUGAGUAGGGCCGGGCACGUGAAACCCGGUCCGAACCUGGGUGGACCACCAUCCAAGCCUGAGUACUACCCUGUGACCGAUAGCGCACCAGUACCGUGAGGGAAAGGUGAAAAGCACCCCGGGAGGGGAGUGAAACAGUACCUGAAACCGUGCGCCCACGAGCAGUCGGAGCAACUUUCAGUUGUGACGGCGUGCCUUUUGUAGAAUGAGCCAGCGAGUCGCUGGCGCGGGGCGAGGUUAACCGAAAGGGAGCCGGAGCGAAAGCGAGCCUUAACAGGGCGACUUGAGUCCCGCGCCGCGGACGCGAAGCCGGGUGAGCUAUCCGUGGGCAGGCUGAAGCGGGGGUAAGACCCCGUGGAGGGCCGAACGCACGUCGGUUGAAAACGGCGGCGAUGACCUGCGGAUAGGGGUGAAAGGCCAAUCAAACCCGGAGAUAUCUCGUUCUCCCCGAAAUAGCUUUAGGGCUAGCGUCGCGCGUUCACCGCCGGAGGUAGAGCACCGGAUGGACGAGGGGGCUUCGCCGCCUACCGAAUCCAACCGAACUCCGAAUGCCGGCGGCCCAGAGCGCGGCAGUCAGAGCAUGUGGGCUAAGCUGUGUGCUCGAGAGGGAAACAGCCCGGACCGCCCGCUAAGGUCCCCAAGUUCCAGCCGAGUGGCAAAGGAUGUGCGUCCGCCCAGACAACCAGGAUGUUGGCUUAGAAGCAGCCAUCCAUUCAAAGAGUGCGUAACAGCUCACUGGUCGAGUGGACAUGCGCCGACAAUACACGGGGCUAAGCUGGACACCGAAGCGGCGGGAUUUUGAUUUACAGAAUCGGUAGGGGAGCUUCCCAUGGGCGGAGAAGCCGGAGGGCGACCGACGGUGGAGCGCAUGGGAGUGAGAAUGCUGGCAUGAGUAGCGAGAGACGAGAGAGUAACUCGUCCGCCGUGAACCCGAGGUUUCCUGGGCAAGGCUAAUCCUCCCAGGGUCAGUCGGGGGCUAAGGCGAGGCCGGUAGGCGUAGCCGACGCGCAGCAGGCAGACAUUCCUGCACCGCGCACGCGGCGCUACGACCGACGGGGCGACGGAUGGGGGUGGCUCGGCGGGGUUCUGGACGUCCCCGUGAUGGAGCGCGGCCCGCGGACCAGGGAAAUCCGGUCCGCAGAAGGGCGAGGCUCCGGACGAAGCGACUGAGCGAAGCGAGUGAGCCCGAGGUCCCUAGAAAAACCCCUAGGCAGGCGCGUGCGCGCCCGUACCGCAAACCGACACAGGUGGGUGGGUAGAACAUACCGAGGCGAUCGGGUCAACCAUGGUCAAGGAACUCGGCACAAUGGCCCCGUAACUUCGGGAGAAGGGGUGCCCGCGCGUACGUGAACCGGCUUGCCCGGGGAGCGGAGGCGGGCCGCAGUGGAGAGGCCCAAGCGACUGUUUACCAAAAACACAGGACUCUGCAGAAGCCGCAAGGCGACGUAUAGGGUCUGACGCCUGCCCGGUGCCGGAAGGUCACGCGGAGGAGUUAGCCGAUUCGGCGAAGCCCCGAAGCCAAGCCCCGGUAAACGGCGGCCGUAACUAUAACGGUCCUAAGGUAGCGAAAUUCCUUGUCGGGUAAGUUCCGACCUGCACGAAAGGCGCAACGACUUGGGCGCUGUCUCGACCAUGGACCCGGUGAAAUUGCACUGGUCGUGAAGAUGCGACUUACCCGCGGAAGGACGGAAAGACCCCGUGAACCUUCACUGCAGCUUGGCAUUGGCCGCUGGUCCCGCGUGUAGAGGAUAGGCAGGAGGCAUCGAUCCGGAGGCGCCAGCCCCCGGGGAGCCGCCCUUGGAAUACUGCCCUCGCGCGACCGGCGUCCUAACCCGAGGCCGUCAACCGGCUCGGGGACCGUGCCAGGCGGGCAGUUUGACUGGGGCGGUCGCCUCC
rnacentral:rRNA from 1 species